AACGACUGCUAAUACCGGAUAUGCCGUAAGGUGAAAGAUUUAUUGCCUGGAGAUGAGCUCGCGUCUGAUUAGCUAGUUGGUGGGGUAAAAGCCUACCAAGGCAGCGAUCAGUAGCUGGUCUGAGAGGAUGAUCAGCCACACUGGGACUGAGACACGGCCCAGACUCCUACGGGAGGCAGCAGUGGGGAAUUUUCCGCAAUGGGCGAAAGCCUGACGGAGCAAUACCGCGUGAGGGAGGAAGGCUUUUGGGUUGUAAACCUCUUUUCUUAAGGAAGAAUACAAUGACGGUACUUAAGGAAUAAGCAUCGGCUAACUCCGUGCCAGCAGCCGCGGUAAUACGGAGGAUGCAAGCGUUAUCCGGAAUGAUUGGGCGUAAAGCGUCCGCAGGUGGUUCUGUAAGUCUGCUGUUAAAGCGUGAGGCUCAACCUCAUAAUGGCGGUGGAAACUACAAGACUAGAGUACGUUCGGGGCAGAGGGAAUUCCUGGUGUAGCGGUGAAAUGCGUAGAUAUCAGGAAGAACACCAGUGGCGAAAGCGCUCUGCUAGGCCGUAACUGACACUGAGGGACGAAAGCUAGGGGAGCG
rnacentral:rRNA from 1 species